AUCAAGCUGACGAGUCCAAAAUAGGACGAAAUGCGCAUCCUGGAC
rnacentral:hammerhead_ribozyme from 1 species